rnacentral:rRNA from 1 species
ACGAGUGGGCGAAACGGGGUGAGUAACACGUGGGUGACCCUGCCCCCGCACUUCGGGAUAAGCCUGGGAAACUGGGUCUAAUACCGGAUAGGACCGCACCGUGAGGGUGUGGUGGAAAGUUUUUCGGUGUGGGAUGGGCCCGCGGCCUAUCAGCUUGUUGGUGGGGUAAUGGCCUACCAAGGCGGCGACGGGUAGCCGGCCUGAGAGGGUGGACGGCCACAUUGGGACUGAGACACGGCCCAGACUCCUACGGGAGGCAGCAGUGGGGAAUAUUGCACAAUGGGCGGAAGCCUGAUGCAGCGACGCCGCGUGGGGGAUGACGGCCUUCGGGUUGUAAACUCCUUUCACCAUCGACGAAGGUUUUCUGACGGUAGAUGGAGAAGAAGCACCGGCUAACUACGUGC